AGAAAAGUGAUGACACAUUUUUGUAUAGAAAAACAGAGAACUAUGUCCUGACUUUUCUGA
rnacentral:pre_miRNA from 1 species